GCAUGGGAAGGGAUUUAUGGUGGGCUUUGCCAGUGAUCCCCUCAUAGUGUCACCCAUGCUGGAGAGAAGCGCUGCUCCGAACCAUUAGCAGGUCCCCGUAGGCCUGACCGCUGAAGUGAGCUGCACAUAG